GAGUUAGGACUCUUAAUUAUUACUAAUUAGUUAGCCAACUAGAGAAGUCUCUCUGAUUAUGUAGAGCACUGGAAACCCAAGAAGGAGGUGCAGCAUUCUCUUCUGAGUGUGAAGCCAACUUUUGGUGUUGUUUUGCUGCAAGUGCCAUUUGCCACUGAUGAUCAUCCUUCUCAUCCUCUGGGAGAGCAACAGGAAGAGGGCACAGUCUGAGGGGU
rnacentral:snoRNA from 1 species